CCCUUAGACGUUCUGGGCCGCACGCGCGCUACACUGACCAGUGCAACAAGCAUCCGUCCUUGGCCGACAGGCCCGGGCAAUCUUUGAACGCUGGUCGUGAUGGGGAUAGACUUUUGCAAUUUUUGGUCUUCAACGAGGAAUUCCUAGUAAACGCAAGUCAUCAACUUGCAUUGAUUACGUCCCUGCCCUUUGUACACACCGCCCGUCGCACCUACCGAUUGAAUGGUCCGGUGUAGCCUCCGGAUUGGCGCGCACCUCGGUGCCGCCGAGAAGUUGGCUAAACCUUACCAUUUAGAGGAAGGUGAAGUCGUANCA
rnacentral:rRNA from 1 species